GUGAGGGAUAUUGGUCAAUGGGCGGGAGCCUGAACCAGCCAAGUCGCGUGAAGGAAGAAGGAUCUAUGGUUCGUAAACUUCUUUUGCAGGGGAAUAAAGUGCAGGACGUGUCCUGUUUUGUAUGUACCCUGAGAAUAAGGAUCGGCUAACUCCGUGCCAGCAGCCGCGGUAAUACGGAGGAUCCGAGCGUUAUCCGGAUUUAUUGGGUUUAAAGGGUGCGUAGGUGGUUUGAUAAGUCAGCGGUGAAAGUUUGCAGCUUAACUGUAAAAAUGCCGUUGAAACUGUCGGACUUGAGUGUAAAUGAGGUAGGCGGAAUGCGUGGUGUAGCGGUGAAAUGCAUAGAUAUCACGCAGAACUCCGAUUGCGAAGGCAGCUUACUAAGCUACAACUGACACUGAAGCACGAAAGCGUGGGGAUCAAACAGGAUUAGAAACCCCAGUAGUCC
rnacentral:rRNA from 1 species